rnacentral:rRNA from 1 species
CAUGUCCUUUUGUUAAAAUUUAAGGUCUAAUCUGCUCAAUGAUGAAUUUAAAUUGCCGCGGUAUUUUAACCGUGCAAAGGUAGCAUAAUAAUUAGUUUUUUUAUUGAAAACUGGAAUGAAUGAUUGGACAAGAAAAUUACUGUCUCUUGAUUAUUUUUGUUGAAGUUAAUUUUUAAGUUAAAAAGCUUAAAUGCUAUUCAGGGACGAGAAGACCCUAUAGAGUUUUAUUAUUAUGUUUAUAUUUGUAUUUAGGAAUUGAUUAUUUUAUUUUAUUUAAUAAUUUGAUUGGGGUGAUUUAAAAAUUUAUUAAACUUUUUAAAAUUUAUAUUACUUAUGUGUAAUUUUAGAAUCUUGAAUUUUGAAAUUUAAAAUAAAUUACCUUAGGGAUAACAGCGUUAUAUUUUUUUGAAGUUCUUAUUUAAAGAAAUGAUUGCGACCUCGAUGUUGGAUUAAAAU